CCAAAACAUAAUAUUAUUAGUUUUCUCCUACUGUGUUUCACAUUCUGAAAAACCUCCUGGCUAAUCUUGUGGACGAAUGGGAUAAAGAAGAAUGUGUUUCAAACUGGCAAAAAUACAGACCUUGUCUCUCUGAACAUAUGGAGAUGGAGGUGAAACAACUAGUGAGAUUCUUGGAAGAAGAAGCUGAUGUUGGGUUUCAAACUUCUACUGAGUAAAGAUUACUUAUUUCGAUGGGAUGCGGGGAAUUGACUAACAGAUGUGAAGAAGAAGGGACAAGAAUGGAGAUACUCGGACCAUUUCUAGGGGUUGUGGGACUUGAGUCUUUCUUUGGAAGCUAGAGAAUGUGAAUGUAAUUUAUCAAUUUUCAUAAGCACACUCGAUACACUAAUCAAAGGCUUUAGUUGGCAAGUAAUUUUAAUUUCAAGGCAUUUUAACUGUAAAGAAAAGUUCAUUGCGGGCUAACUGCUAAUGAAAGAUUCAUGGCAUGUGCUGUA